GCCAGCUUCGGCAGCACAUAUACUAAAAUUGGAACGAUACAGAGAAGAUUAGCAUGGCCCCUGCGCAAUAGGAGGACUUCCGGGAUAGGAAAAUGCUGAGCUAAGCU